CCAAGGAAGUUGCACAGAACUUCCCCAAAUUGAUAUGGAACCUUCAAAAACACAUGGAGCAACUGCGAAAAGAAAUGGCUGAGGAUAUACUAAAAAUGUCUGAGUUCAACAAAGCCAACAACUGCUUCAUGUGUGCCACUGAUAAAGAACCUGGAUGUGGCCCAAAGACUGACUGGAUUGAAUGUUUUGCAUGCCAACGGUGGUUCCAUGUGCUGUAACUAGGAAUGAAGACAAAAGAGUUCAACAGAGUAAAGAACACAAACUGGAAGUGCAGUCUUUGUUGUUGAAAAUGUAUGCUAUACCCCAUCCACACUGAAGAGGCUCUGAAAUCAUCAACCAGGGAUAAAGAGAAAGUUAACUCUGUGAAAUGUUUCAUACCUAAUUGAAGUUAAGUGUCUGUUGACAUGUUGGGAAAG